rnacentral:rRNA from 1 species
UACGAAGGGGGCUAGCGUUGCUCGGAAUCACUGGGCGUAAAGGGUGUGUAGGCGGGUCUUUAAGUCAGGGGGGAAAUCCUGGAGCUCAACUCCAGAACUGCCUUUGAUACUGAGGAUCUUGAGUUCGGGAGAGGUGAGUGGAACUGCGAGUGUAGAGGUGAAAUUCGUAGAUAUUCGCAAGAACACCAGUGGCGAAGGCGGCUCACUGGCCCGAUACUGACGCUGAGGCACGAAAGCGUGGGGAGCAAACAGG